AGAAGAACACUCAAUGAAGAAAGUGUGCCAAUCCAUUUUGGAAUACUACCAGUCAAAUUGUUUCCUCUAAGAUCUAACGUAACCAGUGAAGAGAUAUUAUAAAAAGCGAUUGGUAGUGGGCCACUUAGUCUACUCCCGUGCAGGUGGACAUGCUUUAUGUUUAGGGUAUUAAAGCAGGACGGUAUAGAGCCAAAUAAAUUGUUUUCAGAGAGAUCCAAAAAUUCCAAGCGAUUCAAGUUGCAAAAUUCCAUUGGAAUAGAACCCUCGAAACCAUUUUGGGACAAAGCUAAUCUCUCCAAAAAUGACACAUUCCCCAUCCAUCUUGGGAGGUUUCCAUAAAACUUGUUAUUUCUGAGAUUGAUUUCCCUUAGUGAAGUUGGAAACUCAGAAAUAGAGACAUCAACAUUUGCCAUCUCCCCAGAAAAAUUAUUUCCAUCCAAAUAUAAUUUUGACAGCCCAUUUGCAUUGAGAAUCACAGGAAGCACAUGUCCACUGAGGUUGUUGUUUGAUAGUCUCAAAAUGGUCAACGAGUUUUUUGUGAUUAACUCUUCAGGUACUCUUCCAGACAAUUGAUUGUUUGAUAAAUCUAAAAUCGAUAAAUCCUUCAUGCCACUCAAACAAGGAGGGAUAUCACCUUCGAAGGCAUUCUUGGAUAAGAACAAUAGGCUCAAAUGUGGAAAAGGUGAACACACGUUGGCUGGAAUCUGACCUUGCAAUUUGUUUUGGGAUAUGUCAAUUAAAGACACUUUAGAGUUAGGAGCUGACGGUAAUGAGAGAGGACCGGUAAAUGAAUUACCCUUCAAGAUGAGAUCUUCUAACUUUGUGUUGUUUUCUAACAACCAAGUUGGGACUGUUCCGCUGAAAUUGUUAUGAGAAAGAUCCACAUAUCUCAAGUCAUAUUGGUAGUAAAGGAAGGUAGGAAGCUUACAACUGAGCUGUUGAGAUGUUAUGCACUUUGGCAAACUAAUGACUUCCAAUUGGAACUUUGGGAUUGAGGUAUAAAAGGAAGGUUCCGUUACCAUCUUGUUUUCAUUACUCAAGAGGGCUUUGAGGUUUGAAAGGUUUGCAAAUGGUGCGAAUGACAACGGAAUUUGAAAAUGGUUUCCUGAAAUAUCUAACUCACGAAGAGAUGUCAAGUUACUGAAACAAUGAGGAAGCNNNNNNNNNNNNNNNNNNNNNNNNNNNNNNNNNNNNNNNNNNNNNNNNNNNNNNNNNNNNNNNNNNNNNNNNNNNNNNNNNNNNNNNNNNNNNNNNNNNNNNNNNNNNNNNNNNNNNNNNNNNNNNNNNNNNNNNNNNNNNNNNNNNNNNNNNNNNNNNNNNNNNNNNNNNNNNNNNNNNNNNNNNNNNNNNNNNNNNNNNNNNNNNNNNNNNNNNNNNNNNNNNNNNNNNNNNNNNNNNNNNNNNNNNNNNNNNNNNNNNNNNNNNNNNNNNNNNNNNNNNNNNNNNNNNNNNNNNNNNNNNNNNNNNNNNNNNNNNNNNNNNNUAAUUCUAAAGGAUGAGAAGAGGUAUUAGAUGUUAAUCAAACGUAAUCUGUUUUGGAAAAGAAAAUCAUGUUCAGAUAAUGGUAUUGUAGAUAAAAGGUUUUAACUGAUGAGAAAGCCUCCACUAAAUUUUGUAAUGGAAUGCUUCCAUCGGUGAAAACGUGAUCAAGAGACACAACUUUCAAAUUUCUCAAUCCCUUAUUUUCUGUAAGUGAAAGAAAUAUAUAAAUAUUUGUUUUCAUGAAUAAGAUAAAAGUUUAAUAGAGAAUGUCCAAAUCUUAACAUAACUAUUCAUUCAUUUUAUUAAUUAAUAAACUAAUCCUUUUUAGUCAUUCUAAGAUANNNNNNNNNNNNNNNNNNNNNNNNNNNNNNNNNNNNNNNNNNNNNNNNNNNNNNNNNNNNNNNNNNNNNNNNNNNNNNNNNNNNNNNNNNNNNNNNNNNNCAAGUUCUUUUAUUUUAAAAUGUCAACACCAAUAAAUUAUUUUUUUUUUAAAAAUAACAAUGUUAACAAUUGAACUUGGAUUUUAAAAUUUAAAAAAUAGAGGGAUCAAAUUCCCGAAAAUAAAAAUACAAGAAUUAAAUUACAAAUUUGUAAAGAGUACAUAGACCUAUCACAUUUUUUUUAACCAAAAAAUUAACAACAUGUGCAUUUUGAAAUAUAUAAAAAGUUAAAAAAAAAAGAAGUUUAAGCACCUCAAAAUGUAUGUUUAAAUUUCAUAAAAUUGAAGUUUUUUUUAUAUUAUUCAAAAUUGACAUUUAUUUAUUUUUGGCCAAAAAAUGCCAUUUAUUUAACUCUAAUAUGUAUUAAAAAUAUAUGAAAUUAAAAUAUAGUUAUAUUACAUAUUUUCCCAUAAAUAUAUGUAUUUUUACUUAUAAUAUCAUUUUUAUUGUUAUAAUUAUUUUUUAUCUCAUAAAAAUUCAAUAAAUUAUUUAAAAAAUAUAGUUAUACAAACAAAAUAAUUAUAAACAUUAAUAUUUAAAAAUUAUGAAAAAUUUAAAGAAUUUUAGUUUCAAACCAAAGUCGAAACACAUUAUAAUGGAGGGUUUAGAAAAUGUUUCACCAAACCCAUAUUUUACUUUCAAGUAUGAUAUGAUAUAACUUUAUUAAUAUUUAUGACAAUAACUGUUAUUAUAAUAUCUGAGAUCAAAACUAAAUUUCUAAAUUAAAAAAGAAAAGGAAAUUUAAUUAAAUGAUACCUUGGUGGAUCACAAAAUCUCUCAAUUCAUUAUAGCUCAUAUCUAGUUCCCUUAAUUUGAUAAAUGCUUCCAAAUCUAGGAAAACAAAAACAACAAAUUAAUCAACUCCAUUAUAUUCUCUUAAAACAUUAUUAUAUUCUUGUUAAAAAACUAAUAUUUUUACCUUUCAUAUCUAUUGAUCCUUUCAAUUGAUUGACCCUUAUGCUCAACGAUUUCAAAUUUGAAAGCUUGUUAAGGGAUGCAAAUGCACUAGUAUUGAAGAGAUUUCCAUCUAAAUUAAGCUCUUCCAAGUGGGUCAACUCCAAUUUUCUACCACCAUCUACAAAAGAUUUAUAUAAUUUCAUCACUGAAAUGAAUUGGCAUAAAAUUUAAUUAUAUGUAAGAAUUUAGGUAAUUGGUUAAAUAUAAAUGCAUACCUUUUAAGGAUUGAAAGCUUUCAAUUUGAUUCCAACUUAAAUCGAGUUUCUUCAAAUUCGUUAAAUUACUCAAUCCUAUACAUAUCCUCGUCCAAUUUAAAAAAUCAUUAUGUUAAUAAUUUUAAUUUCUACUUAAUAUUUUAAUGAAAUAAAAAUGAAAAAAAAGUAAAUCUAAAACUUGGAAUGAAGAUGAAAAUCCUCAAACGUGAAAUGUGAAUGUUCAAAAUUGAAACAAUUAAUUUUAAAAGGUUCUAGAAAGAAUUAUCAAGAAAAACAAAGUUAUAGCUUUAGUACCUUUAGUAUCUAAUGAACCUUGCAAAUGGUUGUAGUACAAAGUCAAAGACUUUAGGCUUGAAAGCCCUUGAAGAAAGGAAAUUGUGUUGUUCCGAAAGAGAUUAUCACUCAAGUCAAGUUCCUCCAAGUUUGUUAACCUCAGUAGUGUUCCAUCUAUCAUUGGAAGAAAAUAAUGAGUAUAGUUAAUAUCAUUCAAGAUAUAAAUAGUUAGGAAAAAUGAUUGUUUGAGAAGGAAGAGCCAGUUUACAAGCUUUCCCAUGAAUUGAUAACUACAUUUUACAAGUAAAACUUAAUUGAUUCAAUAUAUAAAUACUUUGUUUGAGAUACCUUCCUACUUUAAUUACUCAAUCCCAAAUAUUGAUUACUUAUAUAUAUUCAUGAUAUGAUAAAAGCAAAUGACUUAUUAAUUGCAACAGCUUUUCCUUCAACAUGAAUUUAAUGCUAUUCUUCAAAUAAUUCCAACUUAUAUCAAUAAUCUCCAAUCUAAUGAGCCAUUGAAAACCUGAUUUAUAUAUUAUAUAAUUAGUUACUACAAAACAUAAAUAAAUAAUAAUACUCCAUUUUUGCAAUAAAAAUUCACUAAAGAAAAUACAUUUGAAGUUUGUCAUUGCCUUUUGGAAUAAGAGUCGGUCAAGAAAGUUUGUUAGGCUUAAUUGUGUUCCAUCUAUGAUUGGAAGAAAAUAAUGAGUAUAGUUAAUAUCAUUCAAGAUAUAAAUAGUUAGGAAAAAUGAUUGUUUGAGAAGGAAGAGCCAAUUUAGAAGCUUUCCCAUGAAUUGAUAACUACAUUUUACAAGUAAAACUAAUUGAUUCAAUAUAUAAAUACUUUGUUUGAGAUACCUUCCUUCUUAAUUUAUUCAAUUUUGAAAUUCAAUCCCAAAUAUUGAUUACUUAUAUAUAUUCAUGAUAUGACAUAUUGCAACAACUUUUCCUUCAACAUGAAUUUAUUUUAAAGAAUGCUAUUCUUCAAACAAAUCCAACUUAUAUCAAUAAUUUCCAAUUUAAUGAGCCACUGAAAACCUGAUUUAUAUAUUAUAUUAUUAGUUACUACAAAACAUAAAUAAAUAACAAUACUCCAUUUUUGCAAUAAAAAUUCACUAAAGAAAAUACAUUUGAAGUUUGUCAUUGUCUUUUGAAAUAAGAGUCGGUCAAGAAAGUUAUGCACAAAUACUUAUACCUUUGUUUGAGAUGCUUUCAAUGUUGUUGUCACUUAAAUCCAAGUACUUCAAGUUUGUCAAAUUAUUCAAUCCUGAAAUUCAAUCCCAAAUAUUGAUUAGCUAUAUAUAUUCAUCGUAUGAUAAAAUCAAACUUGAACAUACAUUGAUUUUUAAAGUUAAAAAGAAACAGGCAAAAUCAGUCUACCGUGAAUAUGAUCCAGCCUUCCUUUCAACUGAUUAGCGCUCAAUCUUAAAGUCUUCAAGGAUGAAAUAUUUCUCAUAUGGAACAGAAUGGUAUUCUUCAAAGAAUUCCCACUUAAAUCAAGAGUUUCCAAGUUAUUGAGUCUUGAAAGCAAUUGAAAACCUGAUAUAUAUAUAUAUGUAUAUAUAAUUACUUGUUAAUUGUUUUCUUCUUUCUUCGCUAUAUGAAAAUUUUACUAAAGCAAAAGUGGAAUUACAACGAAUAAAAAGAAUGGAAAACUUGGUACCAAGCCUAGAAGACCAUCCUCAAACUCCACUAUACAAAUAAAAACUAACAUCAGACCAAACUUAAUUUACCUCUUAGAUGACUUGAUCCUUCAAAUUUGUUGAUUGAUAGAUCUAAAUACCGGAGAGAUGAAAGCUCACUCAAAGAUAACAAAAUGCUAUCAUUCAAGUAAUUUUCACUUAAGUCAAGGAUCUCCAAAUUACUCAAUGUGGAUGAUAGUUUUCCAAAGCCUGUAGAAGUGUUCUUUUAAAUAUAUACAAGUUAGUGACUUUUCUUUAAUAAAAUAAAAUAAAAUAUAAGUAAUUGUAAAUUAACAAUGGUGAGAAUAGUGGAAUAGUAAAAGAUGUAAUUAAGGAAAAAUUAAAGGCACGACCUUCAUUUUCAAGGCUACCACCUAUGACAUUUCCCGACAAAUAAAGUCUCUUCAAUUCCUCAAAAGGAAGAAACAUAGAGGCAUUGAGAUACCAGGCAUUGAGAUUCCUAUUAUCCAUGACGUAUUCCAUAUUGUCUUCCCAUUUUGUAGAAUUAAGGGAGAGUUGUAUGAGUCUCCUAGUGGUGGUGUUACACUCAACUCUUUCCCAUUUACAACAAUCUGAACCCUUCACCUCAACCCAACUUUGCAAUUGAUUACGAUAAUUGAAGAAAGGCUUGAGAUGCAAGAGAGCGAUUCUCUCAUGCUCCAAACAAGCAUCAGUAGUACACCAACUGCAUCUUUCUAACACCAACAACAUUACUGCCAUCCUAAUAAACCAUAAGUACCAUUUCCACUCCAUCAUCAUCAUCAUCUUUCUGUUUUCACUUCUCUCUCAGCUAUAUGUUACUUUUUCUUAACUUCUAUAUGUAUAUAAUCUAAAGAAGCCUAAGCUUCUUUUUUAUAUACAAGCAGAACAUUUUGCAUCCCACUAAUUUACUAUAAUAUAAAAAUAAUAUAUAAUUAAUUAAUUCCUCAAAAAUUGGAUCAAUCUAGGCUUCUUAUUUACGUAAAUUCCUUAUUGCAAAACCUCUUGGUAGAAAUUCGUUAGGAAAGGAUGAAUGGACCACAAGAAUGCUUAUCAACUCUUGACUUUGGCGUCCAAUGCUAAAUUUAUUUUAAAAUUUCUUCAUGGAGACAAGAUGGGAUGACAAGAAUGAUAAGUUUUAAGUCAUUUAAGUUUACACAAUUUUAAUCACUCAUAAAAACAAGUAUUGACAUUCUAUUAAAGAAUUUAAACAUGGCUUAACGUUGAUUUUAAAUCUAAUGUUGAUGUUAAUCUUGAAAAAAGAAUGGCCAAAAAAAUAUGAAAAGUGAGAGGUGGACAUAAAAUAGUGUAGUUGGGGUUAUAAAAUUCUUCAUGUAGACAUUAUAUUUUUUUUAUGCCUUUUUUACACUUAUAUAAAGUUAGUCUUGACUUCGCUUUAUUAAUAGAAAUUUUAGGUCUUCAUUUUUUGUUUUAUUCAUGGGCAUAAUAUUUUUUUAUUUUUAUUUUAUGGUCUAUGAUCGAGGUUUAUGACUAUCCCCUUUCAACAACGUCGUCUCAACUGUUCAAACAUACCCUUGCAGGUAAAAUAAUACUUUUUAAAAUCACAAAUAUUUAAGAUAAUACAUUGCAGCUAUAUAAAUGCUUUCUUGUUUAAGAUACUAAUAAAGUAAUUAACAAAGUAAUUAUUAUACCUAUAAUAAUUCAAAAUGCCACUUGUUAUCUAAUGAAGUAUAGGGGUGCAAAUGAGACAUCCGUACUCGCAAGCUAUUCGAAUUUGGCUCAAAAACUUUUGAAAUUGAUUUGGUAAUUAUUGAGCCGAGCUAUAGGUCGAUCCAGAUUCGAGCUUAGUAAUACUUAACUCGAGUAUUUUGAGAGCCUUAUUGAACUUUUUAUAUUUUUAUAUUAUUAGAUUACAUUAUUGCUAUUAAUAUAUAUUAUUAACUCUAAGUUUAAUUAUAGAGGCGAGCUCAAACUCGAGUACAAAAAUUGAUAAACAUAUUUAAUUUCGAGCUUAAAAAUAUAUGUUCGAUCGAGCAUCAAGCUUUGAAUUUCAAAUUAAACUUGAGUUUAACAGUAUUGAGUUCAAAUAGAUUCAAUUACACCCUACAAUAAAAUAUACCAACAAAACCUACAUUCCAUCUUUGCUAUAAAUUUUAUGUAUGUGUGUGUUUAACGUGAGUUCCAUCUAUGUCCAACUUGAUGACGAUGAAAGUUCCUAUGGUGUAAAAAGUUUUAAUUAUGUGGAAAAAUAAGGUCUUCUCUUCACACGUUUAAUAUGCUUACUUGUGUCGGUCAUUUCGAGCUUCACAUCAAUUUUCAAAAAGUUGGAAAACUUAUGUCUGCUUUUAUGAUUCUUUUAUGUGUGUGUUUAACGUGACUUCCUUGUGAGUUCCAUCUAGGUCCAACUUGAUGACAAUGAAAGUUCCUAUGGUGUAAAAAGUUUUAGUUAUGUGGAAAAUUGGUGGAAAACUUACGUCUUUUCACUUGCUUUUAUGAUUCUUUUUACAUGAUAUUACUAUAUAAUUAAAUUGAAAUACUGAUAAAUUUGAACCCAUAUGAUGUAAGUCUAGGCAUCAUCUAAUUUAUUGAUAUUUAAUUAAUUAAUAUAUAUACUUUCAAUUAUAAGAAUUGAAACAUAACUUUCAAGCCAAUUGGAGUAUGCCCCUGUUACACGUCAAAAGAAGUAGAUUUUGAACUCAACAUGAACCUGUGAGAUUUGAUGCCUAAAAUAUAGGUAUAAGGUUUCAAUUCAUGGAAAUGUUGGAAAUCUUGGAAAUUUCUUAGUCUCCUCUCUUUGGAUGUUUUUGAACAAAAAUGUUUUAAGUCUCUUCCGAUGCUAAACUUCUGAUUGGUCGUCGGUUCACUGACCCUUUGGUACACAGCAAUAUGAAGCAUUGGCCAUUCAAGGCCAUUGCUGGUCCUGGUGAUAAGCCAAUGAUUGUACUACUAUAGAUUUGAAUAUUUGUACACAUUUGAUCGGCUCUUCGUAAAUUUAAAUCUUACAAAUUCGGAUAAUAUUUGAACUUUGAAUGUAUGUUUUGUUGGUGAGAAUAUAAAGUUGAUAAAGAUUUGGUAAAUAGAGUAAAUUACUAUUUUUAUUAGAAAAAUUAUUUGGUACACUGCCAAUCGAGGUAAUUAAAACAUGUCAUAUUAUAAAUAAUAAAAUUAUGAUGACUCAAAUAUACGAACAUGUCAAAAUUUAUGUACAACAAAUUAUUAACAUGUAAAUGUAUAAUACGGUACGCAAAAAUAAGAUAAUUUCUUGUUUUUUUAAUUGAAUUGUUAUAACAUAUUAUACAAAAUACAUCGUGAAUUAAAGCAUAAUAUGAACAUGAUAUCAAAAUAUUAAUUUUUUUUAAAAUUCAAUGAUACGAAUAAUUAUGUAAAAUAUAACAUGAUACAAAAUAUCUUGAGAGGAAAAGAGGAAUAAAGAAUUGCAUUAUUUGUGAGGUUUUAAAAUAUUCCAGUUUUAGAUUCAAUUUUCUAGUAUGUUUGGUUUAAUUUUACAUUAGAUUUCCUUUUCAGUAUGCACUAGUGAACGCUUAGCAGUCAGUUUAAUUUAAUUGAAAGAGAUAUUGCAUAUACAUAAUAAUGGAUUAUGAUCUUACAUUAAAUUUCAUAGAAGAAAAAGAAAUAGAUGGUUGAAAAUGAUAAAACCAUAAGAUAAAAGAGCUUUUAUUCAAAAUGCAAAAAUCAACAAAAUAUUCAUUAUCACUCAACUUAGCAUAAUUAAACAUUUAGGUGAGGAAACAAAUCACAAUUUGAGUAGCUAAACACAUUGCUUGAAAAUGUGAUAAGUAAGAAAAUUGCCCACAUUUGAGUAGCGACAUGUGGUGAUGCAUUUCCCAACGAGAGAAAACUAAGCUCUUCACCAGUAUGGAUUUAUGUAGAGGACAACAAAAAUUGUCAACAACACAACUACAUAAGAAACCAAAAAGCUCACAAAAAAAUCAUAAGUACCUAUCAAACCAUCUUCUCCUUUAUCUUCUGAUACAGUUGAUAUCGUUGAUGGUGAAUCAGUUUUGGAACAACUUUUAUGCAAUAUAUCUCCACAAAGAAAAGGAUUUCCCUCAUAACUGUUUUCAAUAAAGGUCCCAAAUUGAGCUUUUGGUUUGGGAAUACUACCUGACAAGUUGUUGUAUGCCACGCUGAAAACCUCCAAAGAGUUCAACUCUACCAAUUGAUAGGGGAUUUCACCACUCAAGUUGUUGUAAGAAAGGUCCAAACUCUCAAUGUGCUGAAGUUUUGAGAAUGAUGAGGGUAUAACUCCGGUCAACUUAUUGUGUGACAAGUUUAAAGAAUGGAUUUCACUCAAGUUCCCUAAUUCUGGUGGGAUAUGACUAGUUAAGUUGUUGCAAGAUAAAUCAAUCCCAGUCAUAUAUGAAAGGAUGUCGCCAUUGUACGAAUAGAACCCACUCUUUGUUGUGAACUCUAUUACUUCUUCUAAGUAGCUUAGAGGAUAGUAAGAAUCCAUUUCCAGGUUUCCUAUCAUAAUGCGUGUUGAUUCAUCCUCUUCUAUAGAUGGCCCAUAGAACCCAGUUUCUAGAAUCCUCUUCAUUUGUAUUGGAAGAGAUAAAUUUCCCAAACAAGAAGGUAUAGGACCAGAAAACAUAUUUUGAGAAAGAUCUAUGAUGCUUAAAGAAUGCAACUUGCAUAACUCAAUAGGAACUUUACCAUGAAAAUGAUUAUCUUUCAGGAGAAGAACACUCAAAGAAGAAAGCGUGUAAAUCCAUUUUGGAAUACUACCUGUCAAAUUGUUUCCUCUAAGAUCUAAAGUCACUAUUGAAGAGUUAUUAUAAAAAGCAAGUGAUAGUGUGCCUCUCAGUCUAUUCCCGUGGAGGUGGACAUGCUCUAUGUUGGUGGAUUAAAACAUGACGGUAUAGAGCCAGAUAAAUUAUUUUGAGAAAGAUCCAAAAAUUCCAACCUAUUCAACUUUCAAAAUUCCAUUGGAAUAGAACCUUCAAAACCAUUGUUGGACAAAUUUAAUCUCCACAAAAAUGAUGCAUUCCCUAUCCAUCUUGGGAGCUUUCCAUGCAACUUGUUACUGAGAUCAAUUUCGCUUAGUGAAUUUGGAAACUCAAAAAGAAAUGUUCACACAAAGUUUUUUCCAACAUAUGUCUGUCAUUUGUGGGGUCUUGAAUUUAAUAUCAAUGGUUGAAUUUUCAUAGCUAAUAUGUACGCAAAAGGCUUAGUGGGUGGAAUUUUAUGUCUGGAAAGCGUUUCUACAAUGACAUAAUUAAUUGCAUUACUUUUCAAAGAUUGACUAUUGACUUUGGUGAGCUUAUUAGGUUAAAUUCUGCUGCUGGUCACUGUUCUUUGUAAAAGUUGUAAAUUUAGUCUAUUUUCUUCAAUUUGAUCAAUUUUAAUCCCUAUACAUUUUGAAUUUUAAAAUUUUAGUUGUGACCCAAACAAUAGAGUUAAAUCAAUUUAAUUAAAACCAAUUACUAGUCCUAUAUUAUGCGUACAAUUGUUGAUUUAGUCCAUACUCUUCAAUUGGAUCAUUCUAAGUACCUAUAUUUUUCAAAUUUUAAAAUUUCAGUCUUGAUGCAAAUGACAAUCCUUAGUCUGUUAACUAGAUUUUUAGUAACAUAUGAAAAUAAUAAGAUGAUAUGACAUUACAAAUAUGAUAAUAUUUUUGCAUUAAAUAUGUCAACAAUGACAUAAUUAAUUGCAUUAACUUUCAGACGUUGACCAUUGACUUUUGCGUCAACCUUAAGCUUAUAUAGCCCCUACAAUAAUUUAUAGCCCCUACAAUAAUUUAGGUUAUGGAAAUAAUCUUACAAUUAAUGCCUGAGAAAUUAUUAUAGAUCAAUUUAUAGUUUUAAUCCCUAUAAUUACUCAAUUGAAUUAAGAUUCAGUUUUUCUUAUUUAAUUUGAUAUAUUUUGUUUUCUUAUUAAUGUUAAUGUUAUGGAUUAGUUUUUUUUAAGACAACUUCAUUAUUUUAUUCAAUGAAUAAUACCAUACAAUUCGGGGGAAAAUAACAAGCAAUCGUUGUACUCCUUAAAGGACAAGCUCCAUAAAUACAACAAAAGCUUUAGCUUCAACAUUAAUACAACAUUAUGGCAUGUUGAAAUCGGCUCCGUCACAACUCAAGCACAACAUAUCAGGAGUGAUUACAAGCACUUAAUAUAGUAAGAAAAUCAACCCUGGAUGGUCCAAAGCGGAGGGCAUAAAUCGGCAAAAGAACUGAGCAUCCACCAAACUAGAGGGGAUGUGGCGACAAAACCAACCCUAAAAUUACUAGCAAAAGCAAGACUAAAAAGCGUACUACAAGAGUAGACAAAAACUUCUAAAAGUUAAACAAUGGAAAAAUAAACAAAAAAAAUACAAAACUUAAGAUAACAUGAGUCUAAAACGAGUCAUGAAAUCAUUUAUUAUUUUGAAACUCUCAAAACAUAAACAAAUUAAGAUAUCAACGAAGAGGUACCCACUUUCUAAAAGAAAGUGUUGGUCGUCGGUGGUGUUUCAAUGAUGAUAGGCAUUGUCACCUGUCCAUCACAACUUGUAAAGACAACAAAAAUACCCACAAAAUAAAUCUGUAAAUUGAAAAGAACGAAGACUCAUGGAGUGAAUGAGAAGAAGAAAAAUAAAAAGGGUUAAUAGGGAGGAGAAAAAGGAGGGCGGUAACUAAUCCUGAGGCUAACACCGCUGGUAGGCUAAAAAAAAAAAAAAAGCAAACAUGUUGUGGAUUAGUUAAAAUAACUAACAUCAUUGGAAAUUUCAUUAGUUGGCUGAUUUGGAUUUUUUAAAAAAAAAAUUGAAACUAGAAACCAUAAAUGAUCUAACAUUUAGAAACCAUAAAUUGGGUUUUUUUUCAAUUGCUUUGCUGUCCAACUCCAUCCAUCUAAAAUCGCAAGGAUGUACCCAUGUUCAAUAUGCAGUACAGAGUACAGACCCAAAAAUUGACCAUAUAAUGUGGCUGAAGAGAAUUUUCGAAUGGUUUUAAAGAAUUAUGAGAACACAAUGAAUAAAGUUAAGGCAUCAUUUAUUCAGCUUGCUAUAAUGCAGGUCAUUCCAAUAAAGAAGCAUUUUUUAACUACAUUUUCCGUUACCCCAAUAACAAUGAAAUCCCUUAUUAUAGCACAGUAUGUUCUCCGAUGAACAUAGAACUCACCAUUUUUAGGAACACGUGUAGUUGAGGAUGAGAAUUCGGAUCAACUGUAACUUCAAAUAGUGGAAUGAAAACAUUGUCCAGAAUAUUCUGAAAAGAUUUUACAAUUCCCAUUUGCUUGUACACAUUAUACAAUCGUGGUGACUGCAGAAUUAAGUCAAAAUCAAGUGAAGAAGGUUACCUUUGACUUGAGAAAUAUAUCACAGAGAGAGAGAGAGAGAGAGAAAACAGUAAUCUGGAAAGAUGAUGCUUAAUAUGGACAUGAUACCCUAAAAACCGAUCUUAAAUUUUAAUUUCUAAAAUGUUAUUAGCUUGUGCAUACUUUCAAAUACUUUUCAUUAGAGUUACCAUAGACUAAUUUUUCCAAUUUUAGAUGAUUCAAGAAACUACUUGGGGGCAAUUCUUAAAUAAACAUGUCCGAACAGUAGUCAUUAACAAGAAAGCAUCCAAGAAAACCAGCAGUUAAUACUUAAAUAAACAUUAUCAAAUGGAGAUGUAAAGAAGAAAGAAUCCUACUGCAAAGCUAGAUAGCAGGAGAAUCACUAGAAUGAAGAGAAAUACUAUUGGCACUAUACCUGGAUUAACCAAACAGUAGUCUCACUAUAAAUUUCAUUGUUAAUAAACCAACUUGCCAACUGGUCCCAUUCACUUUGUUUCCUUCCGUAUAUGGACACCCUGUACUCUGCCAUCUUGAAAAUAUAUAUAUUAUUCAGUGUAGUCAGAGGCGCAAGGAGCACUCUAGGUGCUAGAAUCCUUUUAUUAUAUAAGGCACAUGGCGCACAAAAAAAAAAAAAAAAAACACUUGCUUGUGUUAAGGCACAUGUAUGCGUGUUUUGGUAUGUCCAUGUCUGUAUAUAUAUAAGCCGAAGAUAUAUAAUUAUAAUAAUAAACUAUAAAAGUGCUCCAGUUUGAAGUACAGAACAUGCCAAAUUUUCUUUCUUUUGUCAACCAUAUGCAUAUUUCCAUAUGAUCCCAUGCCUGGUGUUGAAUACUCAAAUAUUGAGAAGUAGAGAGUUCGAUAUUAUCCCUUUGUUACAAUUAAGAAACAAUUAAAGAGAUAGUAAAGAGAACUUCAAUUAGAAGGCCUUUUCCCCCUACAUGCACCAGGCAGGCGCUUAGCCUGAAAAGGUCAAAGGCCCUUUUACUGUCUGGUGAAAAGGCAAAAAACAUUGGACAAAGUUGGUGGGAGGAUGGAAUACUAAAAAGAGCCCAAUGUUGUCACUUUUCUAAAGUAAGCUCAUAUGCUUUUUUUGUACCCAAACAAUAUCUCACCCUUUAAUUUGUACCUAAAGAAAUUAUUUCUAAUAGAAAGUUUACUUUUGUUAUGAUCAAUGCUGGAGGCCAAAACUGAUUUGGGCUAAGGAAUUGGUGGUGAGAGUUGGGAGGCAAGAAGAAAGAAAGUCCUUGAGUGUUAUAUUUUUCAAAAAAUACAAAUUGUUCAUUUUUUUACCACAUCAUCAUGCCAGGUCAGCUUCCAUGUGGAUAAAGAAAAUUUUGGCGGCAUUGAAACAGAGGCUCACUUAGGAAAAAGAAGGAUACUUCAUGGGCUUUUAGUAAUUUAGCCCUUGGAAGGAAUAUGACCAUCCAAAAAAAGGCAGUUGAUGCUUUAAGGUCAAUUAGCCGAAACAAUAACAACAAUUCCUAGGCUUCAAUAAAAUAAUUUAGACAACAAAUAAAGCUUUAAGGUUGAGUUUUGCACUGCAGCAGCAUUGGGUUUUACAAGGUGAAAACCCACAUUGCAAAAAAAAUAUCAAAGUUUCAGAUCAAUCAUAAUUUAAAAUUCUAACUAAACCAAACGCCAAUGCUGAAUGCCUAAACAAAAAACAUAAGAUUAACCCAAGGACCUAAUUGGGUAUGCUAAAAUUUGUCUUGGAAUGAAAUUAAUAAUAUCCUUACUAUUUCACUUUUUUUCUCUUCAUAUGUUUGGUGUGAGCAUGAUACAGAUUAGACUGAUUUUAAAGUAAAAGUAAAACGAUACCAAACCUAAACAUUCUGGUUUUUUUUAAUUUUUUAUCAGAGCCCUGUUUGAUGCAUUUUUAGUUUUGUUUUCUAAUAACAAAUGGAAAGUUAAUUAAAAAAAAAAAACUCUAAUCCAAUGAGUUCUUUUAUAGAUACAAGAUAAGUCCUGCAAAGUUUUUGUUUUUUAGAAAUAAAAUUUUAUUUUUGUUUUUUAAUUGAUCUUCAUACCUAUUUUAAUAUCUAAGUUCCGGAUUCCUAACUGCCCUAUCAAUAAUAUAGUAUUCAAGAUUUGAACUUAUAUUUUUCUUUAAAAAUAUAAUGUAUUUUAUUAUUGUAUUCUACAUUCAUUAAUACUUAGUAGAAAUAACCUAAUAAAUUGAAUUUUUUUCAUAUAUUAAUAGAGAUAAGUUCGUGCAAAAUUGUUGGUUGAAAAUUCAUGAAUGUACCAUCAUCAUAAGUGAGCUCAAUGAUGCUCUGUCAUCUCAAUAUGAAGCCUCCUAUCAAUCACCAGUCUGCAGAAAACAUUUGAAAUCGAAACACCCCGGACAUCUCCGACAAAUCUGCCAUAACAUUAGCAUCUCUUCCAUUUUUCUAAACACAACCUCACGAAUGGAAAUCUUAAGCUCAUCAACGCUCGCAUAAAUGUACCAAUAUUUCCACGGCCUAGAUUUCUCAUUGAUACACCAAGAAAGCUUGACUAUGGAGUCGGAUUCAACCAUAAGCUUUCAGUCUAUAAUCCACUAGGAAUCCAAAAAAAUUUUAAAUGUUAUAUUAUUAUAUAAAAAAUUGAAACAUGACUUCCGUAGGUUUUAAAUCUAAUGUUGACACUAAUCUUGAAUAAGUCAUUCCCCUCCCAUCUUAACUAAUUGCCAAAGAGCUAUCAAAAGUGGGAGAUGGCCAUAAAAUUGUGUAGUUUGGGUUAUAAAAUUUUUGUUUAGUUAUUUUGAUCACUCCAGUUAAAAUAAAAAAUUGUAAACUGACGCAACAGUUAAAAAAAUGUAUAAUAACAAAUUUAACCCUCAAAUUUUAUAUAUUAUAUCAAUUACAUAUUACAACUACAUAUUUUAUAAUUAUUGAUAUCGAAUAUGUCCCUCACUACGCUGGGGAUUUUUAUUUUAUUUUUUUAUAAUUUGUUUUUAAUUAAUAUUUAAAAUUAAUUUCAAAAUAUUUGAAAAUUUUAUAAUUAUUUGGUGUUAGUCCCUUCAUUAUACUCAAAUUUAAGAUUAAGCCCCUAUACUUUAAUUUUGACAUAAUUUGGUUCUUUCACUUUUAUAAUCUCAUUAAUUAUUUCAAGUAACUAACACUUUUAACAAUGCCAAAUAAAAUAAUGUCAUAUUUUUUUCUUAAAGCCAUCACUUCUAACUAAAUAAUGACUUAAUCACUUUCUAAUUAAUCAUACUAACGUAGAAUUUUUUUUUUUCGUUGGAAUGAGUAUGUUUAAAGAAAACCCACCUCAACAUUUGUAGAUGUCUUCAACAAUUUCCUAAGCACGAUACAAUAAAGCUUGGUGAUCGUAUAAUUUUGUUUUAUGGAAGCUCCAAAUUAUGUUGAUUCUUGAAUGAUACGGUCUGCAUGGGUUUGUUUUGGGUGCUAUUAGUGUACUAGCACAGUUUGUAGUGGAUAAAUAUGGGAGAUUAGUAGAAAAUUCUGAUUAUGUUUUACAUGUGCAACAAGAUAAGCUAUUGGCUUCUUGGUUACUUUCAACUGUUAGUGAUGAAAUUCUAGCCUAUCUUACUAGUGCUCGUACUAGUUAUUAUAUGUGGGAAAUUACUGGUGCCUGCACCUACAUUACUUACUAGGUUGGGCGGUAUAGUGCAAAGGAAAUAGAUUUCUGGUGUCUGCACCUAAAUUACUUACUAGGUUGGGCGGUAUAGGUUGUGAAAUUGAUAAAGCCAAUAAUUUCAGUUUGAAAUAUAAUGAUUUCUGUUGGGUUGCUCAAAUGCUUUAGCAAGAACACGAGACAGAAAAAUUGUCAAUUAAGCUUUACUAGGAUGAAGGGCGACGAUAAUUGUGUUGGUGAACGGAACUUUUCCCUUACAAAAUCUUAAAUAUUCAAUCUGCGUAUUCUUUUUAGUCCCAAAAAUAACAAUGUCAAUUCGCAUCAGUUCCCUUAUGCUUCAUUUAGUUUCAUUUUUCUCUUCUACUGUAAGAAUAAGUGCAUUUUUUUUCCUUCUUAUGUCCUUAUUUUUGGAAAUUGAGAUUUUCGAUCUCUUUUCUACCGUCUCAAAAAGUUGACAUGGCAGUCACUGUUUAUUUGGCUGGAUGCCCGGGCUUUAAUGGGCUAAAGCCAAAGCUUAUUUCAAGAUUUGUUGCUGUUUGUACCUGAUGGAUUUAUUGUUUCAAUUCAUUUCUUUUUACUUUUCAGAUUUUUUUUUCCACUUUUCUGUUUUAUAGGGCUCUUAAACUGUUUCAUGUUGUCCAUUUAAAGGCGUUUAAGAAUUGCAUUUACAUUCUUCUAUGUUUAUUUUACUUUUACUAGAUAUUGCACGUUGAAUUGUUAAAGCCAUAUGACACUUCAAGGGGACCUGGUUAGUGGUAAUUUAGUUUUGUCUUCUGUGACCUAAUUAAUUGGCCCACUGAUUAAUGGGCGGGAACAUGCUGUGCAGGUAAAAAAUGAGUCUUUGAAUAAACUGAACGAGCUUGAGGAAAUGCGUGAGAGACUAGAGGCAAGGAAAGUAGUUAUGGCAAACAUGUCAACUCGUUGCAAAGUUGCAACAGAGGAUGCUAAAAAACAGGAGGAAAUGCUUAGUACUGAAGUAAGAUCAUUGUUGGUUGCUGGUACCUCUCUUUCUGUAGCAAGGAAGCGAUUACAGGUGAAGCUUUUAUAUUCUAGCUUAAAUUAGCUUUGGAAUUUCAUUUUGAUAUUAUCAUGAAUGCUGAAUUUAUGAUAUAUUUGAAGGUUUCUUCUUAUUCAGCUUUAGAUGUUAUUUAUUCUCCUCUUGGAUCAAUAAGACCUCUCUCUUUGCACCUCCACCCCCUGUGAAGGUGGUUGAGGGGCUUAGAUGAGAUGAUUCUCAUUCUAUGAAUUCCUUUGCAUAGUCAAGGGCUAUCCCCUUCUUGCUCUCCUACUUCUUUGUCUCUUUUUUUAGAUGGUUGGUAGUCUUGCAUGCAUGGCAUGAUUGAUUAUAUGUUGUUUUUAUCACAGGAAGCAAAUAGAUUACUCACUGAAGAAAGGGGUUGUGUUAACUUAAAAAUGUGCAAAAGAAGCUUCGAGCAAGGCAACAAUAUAUGAUAUCACAAGUUUCAUUACUGUAUCCUGUAAAGAUCUUGGUUGGACCUGCACAGAAGCAAGAACUUGAGUCCUACUCUAGCAGUAGUAGAUUAGGUAAUGUGCUAGUAGUUUUGGAUUGCUAAUGCUUUGCAAUAAAGCCAACAUAUGGUCAGUGUCGUCAAGGCAUGCGCCUAGGCAUGCCUACCCCUUAGUUUUAUACAACAAAACGCCUUGUACCCAUCCAGGUGAGGUCCAUUUGAUCAAGCGCAUGCCUGGUGCACCUAGGCACACUUUUUUUGUAAGGCAAUGGGCAUUAGAAAAAGCCUGCCUUGUUGAAUUUCUCAAUAAUUUAUUUUAUUUUUCACUGUUUUCAUUUGAUAUACCUUUACUAAUAAGAAAGGGAUAAUAUCAAACUCUAUAGUUCUCAAUAUUUGAGCAUUCACCUAUAAAAAAAUUGCAAGUUUUGUGGAUAAACCAGACCACACUUUAGAGUUUACUAUAUAUCUUAAACUUUUAUGUUAUAGACACACAGACUUGCAAAAACUCUCACAUAUACGUAUUGCGCUUUACUGCACUCUGGCUAGCGCUUCCUUUUGUGCCUUGCUCUCGAGGCAAUAUAAAGGUUAGCACCUAGAAUGCGCCUUGCGCCCUAGACAACACUGCAUAUGGUUUUAAUUAGCAGCCAGUCUCCUCGUUUUGAAAUCAAUAUGUCUUUCCUGUUUAGUUUGUAGUUUAUUUUUAUAUUCUUAAUUAACAUUUAUCCUCUCACUUAUAUCAUCGAGAACCCAUUGUGAUGCUUGUUAUAUUUCCUCCUACGUUUUCUUUUUUGUUCUUGAGAUUUUGGAUGUUCAAAAUGGUUUGAGGAAAACUUUACCAACAAUAGCAGCUUCUUUCUCUUGAACAAUUCCUUCUUGCAACACGGGGAAUAUCUAUAAAUGGCAUGCCUGGAUAUGCAUAUCCUUUGAUAUCAAAUAUGGUUGGUCCAAUAUGAUGUUUUACUAGGGGAGAAUAAAAUGAGUUAUUUUGGUCAACUGGACAAGUCUUUUAUGAUUCCUAAACAGCUUAAGGAGUACCAUUACCUAUCACUUGACUCUUCUUUUGGUUAUAAUGGUUGUAUUCAGUUAUUCCUCUUUUAGCAAUCUACUAUUCAAUUCUCCUCAUAUCAAAACAAUUUUUUUUUGCUCUUGAAUAUUAUGAACUUUUUACAUAUCUCUUACUUUCAUGAUUAUAUUUUUUUGAAUUUUGUUUUGACUUCCACAAAGAGGUGGUGUCUGGUGAUGUACUGAUACGAAGUUCCUUUGUUCCUGACUUCACUAGGGAAUCCUUCUGCAUCAAAGCCCGUCAAUCAAGGAUCGUUGACGAUUUUAGGUCUGAAUCUCACCUUGCUUCCUUUUACAAAGAUGAGUUUUUUCACUGACAAAAAGGAGGUUCAGAGAUCUGCAACUGCCUUGGGAUAUGUUGCACAUGUGCGUUCUAUUUCUUCUGUGAAGUUAUCAUUUAUUACUGAAUUUGUUUUUUCUGAUAAUAUCAAGCUGUGGAUAUCAAGUUUUUUGACCUACCACCUACAAUCCCUUGUUGCUUGAAGAUGCUGUAGUAAUUUUUAAAUGCUAGGAUGGUAAUAUGGUAUAGUGGGCUGCAUCUUGAUUGUUUAUUUCUCAUGCUGAGGCUAGAAUUUUAAUCAUACCUAUUAUUGUUUCUUGUUUCCUGCCAUUUCAUCAUUUGCAGGCUGUUUCACUAAUUGCAUCCCAUUUACAAGUUCCCUUGCGUUAUCCUCUGCGCUUGGGUUCAAGACACGACAAGAGCAGCAUAUGCUGUGUUCUUGUUAAACAAGGCAAGGUUUUGCAUAGUAGUAAUUCUUUUUCCAAGAUGAAUUAUUCUCCUUUGGCAUUUUUAUGUAUAUUAUUGGAUUCAAAUGGUCUGCAAAGUUAGCUUGUCAAUGCUCUUCAAUCCACAGGUUGGAAAAACAGUGCAUGUUUGUUCGACAGCAUUUACAGCUCAUUUUAUGUCAUUGAUAGUGGAUAAUCUUGCUUCCAUCAUCAUUAAUAUCAUGGUUGAAUUGUUUGGAAGAUAUUGGAUUUACAAUAUCCAGGUUCUUGUGAUAGACACUUGAGACUAUCUAUAAACUUCACCGGUAGAUUAGGUGAAGGAUUAUCAACAAAUUUGAAAAGUGUGUGAAUUCCCACCAUGCAUCUAAAAGGAGGUCCAGCACUCGAAUCUCAUUCCCCAUAACUAAAAACUAUGUCACUGUGACUUGGUCAUAUCUCCAUAUCCAUGUUCGAAUUCGGACAUGGGUAGUUAAAGAAAAAUGAAGAGUUGAUGCAUGAUAGACUAGUUCAAAAGUGCUUUUAGAAAAAAGUGCUGUUGAAAUGUGGUGCGGAAAAGUGUGUUUGUUAAUUUUUAGUGUUGUUCAUUGCUGUCAAAAGACGCGGUUGAAAGGUAAAAUGUCUUUUUUAGACAUGAUAGUAGAAAGUAAAAAAUUAGUCAAAUUAUAUGAUAUUUAAAUAAUUUAAUAUAAUGAUACAUGAAAUAUAACUUUUAAAUACCUUUUAAGUAAUUAAUAUAAAUUAUUUGUAAAAUUGAUUAUAUAUAAAAUAUUUUGAAAAAAAUUAAAUAUAAUAAUAAAUAAGAUUUAAACAAUUUAAUAUAAUAAAAUAUAAAAUAUAAAUUAAUCUAAUUUUUAUUUACCUUUUAAAUAGUUAAUGAAAAUAAGAGUAUUUUGACAAUUUUCACUUCCAAAUGACAAAAGCCAAAAGCAGUAGGUUUUUGACUACAAAAGCUAUGUGUUCUUCAUCACUUCUGGAGUGGAAAAACACUUCUGCAGUGUAAAAACACUUUUAAUAAUUCAAAAAGGCUUUUUCACCACAGUAGAGAAUGCACCAUAAAAUUGUAAAUAGAAAAAGGAAGGACCAAACAUUUUUUCUACCCUGUUUUUGUCUCCUCUUUGAAAAUACUUUCCAAAAAGUUUUAUCUUUUUUUUUUUUUCUGUUUACAAUGCCUUGAAUGCAAAUUCCUUAUAGAAGUGCUUUCUUUUGAUCCACUUGCAUCAUUGUAAGAAGUCUGCAUUGCCUUCUAACUUUCUUUGUUGAUUAUCUUUUAUUAAGUUUUCUGUUGGAUAUUAUAGUCAAAUUCCUUUACAUCAUGUAUGUUAAUUUGCUUAGCCCUGAUAAAUGUUAGUGUUGUGCGGAAGCGUGUAAAAGAGUAAAAUUAUUGUACUAAAAAAUCACACUAAGUUCAAUUCCCAGGAAAGAGAGGUGGAUCACAAAGAUCGCUUAAGUACCAGGUCUUUCCUAGCCAGAAUAUCCCUCAAUCGUAAUUUAAUAGCACAAUAAAUCACUACAAUCACACACACAAUUCAUGCAGAAUAAUACAAUAAAGAACACAAGAAUUUAACGAGGUUCAGCAAAUUUUGCCUACGUCCUCGGGCACUACCAAAUAUAUUUCACUCCAAAAUACAAGUGAGAAUUUACAAAGAGAGAGAGAGAAAACAAUGCCUUAAGUAGAGAAUGGCAAGUUUGAGAUACAGAAUGAGAGAUGGUCAUGCUUAUUUAUAAUUGAGGUUCAGGGAUCAACUUGCAAGGUCACUUUACAAUUAGGGACCAUAUAUUGCAAAUAUCUCAGAUUUUAUUAUGCCAAUAUCUCGAUACCCAUAUCUUUGACUUUCCAAUAUUUGAUACCCAUAUUUUUGACUUUCUAUUAUUUGAUACCCAUAUAUUUGAUUUUCCAUAAAUAUGGAUAAUUCCCAAUAAUCUCCACCUUAAAGAUUUGAUUCGAGUAAUCUUAUCUUCACACAAUUCUCUCUGCCUUUGUCAACAACACUUGAUAGUGCCUUCUUCAACUGUUAAACAUGCAGAAUAUUGAUCAAGUUCAAACAAUGUUCGAACUUGAUUGUUGUUACCACCUUGGUCAUCAUAUCUGCGGGAUUAUCUGCAGUCUUAAUCUUCUGAAGGUGAAUUUUCCCCUCAUCAAUAAUUUUCCGCACAAAAUGGAAACGUACGUCGAUAUGCUUUGAACGUGCAUGAUAGACUUGAUUCUUUGCUAAAUGAAUAGCACUUUGACUAUCACAAUACACAUUAAUAUGCUCCUGAACCAAUCCCAAGGUUUUAACCAUACCUUGUAACCAAAUAGCUUCCUUUACAGCCUCUGUUACAGCCAUGUAUUCAGCUUCUGUGGUUGACAACGCAACUGUAGACUGCAGUGUAGACUUCCAACUUAUUGGUCCUCCAGCAAGAGUAAACACAUAACCAGUGGUUGAUCUUCGUUUGUCCAAAUCACCGGCAUAAUCAGAAUCAACGUACCCAACAACACAUUUACCAAGUAUAGUAUCCUGCUUGAACAAUAAUCCAAUAUCCAUGGUCUUAUGAAUAUACCGUAGAAUCCAUUUCACAGCUUGCCAAUGUCCUUUUCCAGGAUUAUGCAUAUACCUGCUCACUAUACUAACUGCCUGUGAAAUGUCGGGUCUUGUACACACCAUUGCAUACAUCAAGCUACCUACUUCAUUAGAAUACGGAACUUGUAACAUGUAUUCUUUUUCCGUAUUUGUCGAAGGAGAUAGUUGUGCAGAAAGCUUGAAAUGAGAAGCCAACGAAGUACUUACAGCUUUAGUCUGCUCGUUCAUGCCAAACUUCUGUAGUAUCUUCUUUAAAUAUUGCUUCUGAGACAAACUAACUCUGCCAUGAGCUCUAUCCCUACAUAUUUCCAUGCCAAGGAUCUUCUUAGCUUCACCUAGAUCUUUCAUCUCAAACUCAAGGUUGAGUUGAGUCUUCAAUCUCUCAAUGUCAACUUUACUCUUAAAUGCUAUCAACAUAUCAUCAACAUAUAAGAGCAAGUAUACGAAAAAUCCUUCUUGUAGCUUCUGAAAAUACACGCAAUGAUCAAAUNNNNNNNNNNNNNNNNNNNNNNNNNNNNNNNNNNNNNNNNNNNNNNNNNNNNNNNNNNNNNNNNNNNNNNNNNNNNNNNNNNNNNNNNNNNNNNNNNNNNNNNNNNNNNNNNNNNNNNNNNNNNNNNNNNNNNNNNNNNNNNNNNNNNNNNNNNNNNNNNNNNNNNNNNNNNNNNNNNNNNNNNNNNNNNNNNNNNNNNNNNNNNNNNNNNNNNNNNNNNNNNNNNNNNNNNNNNNNNNNNNNNNNNNNNNNNNNNNNNNNNNNNNNNNNNNNNNNNNNNNNNNNNNNNNNNNNNNNNNNNNNNNNNNNNNNNNNNNNNNNNNNNNNNNNNNNNNNNNNNNNNNNNNNNNNNNNNNNNNNNNNNNNNNNNNNNNNNNNNNNNNNNNNNNNNNNNNNNNNNNNNNNNNNNNNNNNNNNNNNNNNNNNNNNNNNNNNNNNNNNNNNNNNNNNNNNNNNNNNNNNNNNNNNNNNNNNNNNNNNNNNNNNNNNNNNNNNNNNNNNNNNNNNNNNNNNNNNNNNNNNNNNNNNNNNNNNNNNNNNNNNNNNNNNNNNNNNNNNNNNNNNNNNNNNNNNNNNNNNNNNNNNNNNNNNNNNNNNNNNNNNNNNNNNNNNNNNNNNNNNNNNNNNGAAUCAUGUUGCUGUAAAAGUUCUUGGGUCGAAACUUCUUCAUCAUUUGUUCCUUCAAUAUUAGCUGGAUCAUCAUUAACCUUUUCAAGCUCCACCUGUUGCAAAGUGCCAUUGGUUGUGUAUCCUUUUGUGAAUCAUUGUUCUUCAUCAUGGUUGAUUCAUCAAAAGUCACAUCUCUACUGAAAAUUAUUUUCCUUGUAUCAGGACACCAGAGACGGUAUCCUUUUACUCCACCAGUUAUACCCAUGAAUAAUGCUUUCUUUGCUCUUGGGUCUAACUUAGAUUCUUUUACAUGAUAAUAUGCAGUGGAACCAAAAUCAUGUAAAGAAUCAUAAUCAGUAGCAGGUUUACCAGCCCACCUCUCCAUAGGAGUUUUUCCAUUUAUUGCAGCUGAUGGCAACCGAUUAAUUAGAUGGCACGCAUAUGUAACUGCCUCAGCCCAAAAUUAUUUGCCCAAUCCAGCAUUGGACAACAUACAUCGAACUUUCUUCAGUAUAGUCCGAUUCAUACGUUCUGCCACCCCAUUCUGUUGUGGUGUAUCUCGAACAGUGAAGUGUCGUACAAUACCUUCAUCGUGACAUACAGAUCAUUCUUGUACUCAAUACCAUUGUCUGAUCGAAGUCGUUUGACUUUUCGACCAGUCUGGGUCUCCACCAUCUUCUUCCAUUUCAGAAAUACAUCCAAAACUUUAUUUUUCCUUUUCAUUAGAUACACCCAUACUUUUCUUGAAUAAUCAUCAACAAAAGUAACAAAAUAGUGCAUACCUCCCAAAGAAGCCACUUUAGUAGGUCCCCACACNNNNNNNNNNNNNNNNNNNNNNNNNNNNNNNNNNNNNNNNNNNNNNNNNNNNNNNNNNNNNNNNNNNNNNNNNNNNNNNNNNNNNNNNNNNNNNNNNNNNNNNNNNNNNNNNNNNNNNNNNNNNNNNNNNNNNNNNNNNNNNNNNNNUUGCAAAGCUUUUUCACCAGCAUGUCCCAAUCGCAUAUGCCAUAACCUGGUAGCCUCUGAAUCUGCAUCUUUCGUAGAAGCUGUUGAUGUUGAUCCAAUAACUAUACUUCCAUUUAAAUAAUACAGAUUAUUCCUUCUUGUGCCUUUCAUCACCGUCAAUACCCCAGCUACUACCUUUAGUAAUCCAUCUCUCAAAGUGAUUGUGAGCCCUUUAGAUUCUAGGACCCCUAAUGAGAUAAGAUUUUUCUUCAAGCUAGGUAUGUAGCGAACAUCUGUCAAGACUUGAAUUGAGCCGUCGUGAUUCUUCAAUUGGAUUGUACCUACUCCCAUUGUCUUACAAGCGCUAUCAUUGCCCAUAAAAACAACUCCACCUUCUAGUUCUUUAAGACUAGAAAACCAGUCCUUAUUAGGACACAUAUGGUAUGUACAUCCCGAAUCCAAAAUCCACUCAUCUGUAUGACAUGCCAUUGCCAUGCCAACCAAGCUAAAGUCUGACUCCUCAUCAUGCUCUGCUACACAUGCAUCAGAAAUAGCUUUACCCUUUUGUAACUUAGGACAAUUCUUUUUCCAAUGCCCUUUCUCACGACAAAAAGCACAUUCAUCUUUGGCAGGUCUCCCUUUGGACUUACUCCUUCUACCAGAUUUGUUGCUGCGCGAACGACCUCUUACUGUUAAGACUUCUGUAGUUGUAUCUCUGUGAUCUUUUUUAUCUUUCUUUCGAGUCUCAGAUCUAUACAACGCACUACAGACUGCAUCAAAUGUGAUUGUAUCCUUCCCAUGAAGCAAUGUGGUGGUAAGAUGAUCAUAUUCAUCAGGAAGAGAAUUCAACAACAGUAAUGCCUUGUCUUCAUCUUCAAAUUUCUCAUCCAAAUUUAGCAAGUCUGCUAAAAUUUUAUUGAAUGAGUUCACAUGGUCAUUCAUCGGCAUACCGGGUGCAUACGUGAAUCGAUAAAGUUUUUUUUCAUAUAAAGCCUAUUUUCAAGACUUUUUGUUAGAAACUUUUCUUCCAGUGUAUCCCACAACUUCUUCGCUGAUGUCUCCCUCAUGACAGAGUACUUCUGCUAUUUGGCCAAACAUAGGCGAAUUUUUCCACAUGCCUGUCUAUUGAUCUUGGCCCACUCCUUGUCAUCCAUCUUCUCAGGUUUUUCUUCAAGGGCUAUAUCCAGCUCUUGCUGACAUAAGACAUCCAGGAUCUCACAUUGCCACAUAUCAAAAUUAUUGGUACCAUCAAAUUUCUCUACUUCAAAUUUCGCAUUGGUCACAGUAGUCUUUAUUGAUGACGAUGCCUUUUCCAUUUUUUCUCCUCAAUCCCAACUACAGUACGUGAACAGUACUGUGAACGAUCGUAUUCCCCAAGUACGAAUGUAGCUCUGAUACCAAUUGUUGUGCGGAAGCGUGUAAAAGAGUAAAAUUAUUGUACUAAAAAAUCACACUAAGUUCAAUUCCCAGGAAAAAGAGGUGGAUCACAAGGAUCGCUUAAGUACCAGGUCUUUCCUAGCCAGAAUAUCCCUCAAUCAUAAUUUAAUAGCACAAUAAAUCACUACAAUCACACACACAAUUCAUGCAGAAUAAUACAAUAAAGAACACAAGAAUUUAACGAGGUUCAGCAAAUUUUGCCUACGUCCUCAGGCACUACCAAAUAUAUUUCACUCCAAAAUACAAGUGAGAAUUUACAAAGAGAGAGAGAAAACAAUGCCUUAAGUAGAGAAUGGCAAGUUUGAGAUACAGAAUGAGAGAUGGUCAUGAUUAUUUAUAGUUGAGGUUCAGGGAUCAACUUGCAAAGUCACUUUACAAUUAGGGACCAUAUAUUGCAAAUAUCUCAGAUUUUAUUAUGCCAAUAUCUCGAUAUCCAUAUCUUUGACUUUCUAAUAUUUGAUACCCAUAUCUUUGACUUUCCAAUAUUUGAUACCCAUAUCUUUGACUUUCUAUUAUUUGAUACCCAUAUCUUUGAUUUUCCAUAAAUAUGGAUAAUUCCCAAUAGUUAGAUAUAGGGUUGUCAGCUAAUUAGGAAAGACUGUGAUGAUAGUCACACCUUACAUCCAAACGCAAAGCUUUUUACAUGUGUAUGUAAGGUUGCUAAGCAAAUCUGAUGAGCCUUCACUGAUGUUUUAAGGUUAAGUUAAUGUUCCUUUUCUGCAAAGAACAUUAUCGAGAUCACAGUAUUUUGAUCGCCUUUUGCUUGUUAUGUUAUUCGUUCUGAAACGAUUGUCUAAUCUUUACCGCGAUUGCAGGAUAUAGAGUAAUUUUUGAAUUUCAUCGGUGUAAAGAGUUUAGGACCUCGACAAGUUCUUGCAAAUUUGAAGGAGCUUCUAAGGUCUGUCCAGUCUUCAGAAUAUAUAGAUACCUGAAUUAAUUUUGAUUUUGUAGGAUCAACUAUAAUUUUGACCUUCUUCACACACGGCACGUGCGGAUUUUUUACCAAUCCCAUUUCAUUAAAGAAAAAAAAGAGCUUUAAAAAAGGAUCACACUUUUUUGUUGUUUACAGAAUCAUAAUGUUAAUUAGAGUGGAAUAUUUCAAAUUUCUGAUGAUGAGAAUAUUCUUGAGUAUUGCAGUAAAAAAUUGGGUGUGGAACUUAUUUGAAACUUUGAAUGUAUGUUUUGUUGGUGAGAAUAUAAAGUUGAUAAAGAUUUGGUAAAAAGAAUAAAAUACUAUUUUUUAUUACAAAAUUAUUUGAUACCCUGCCAAUCGAGUUAUAAUUAUCAUGACACAAUAUUAAAGGUAAUUAAAACAUGUCAUAUUACAAAUAAUAAAAUUAUAACGACUCAAAUAUACGAACAUGCCAAAAUUUAUGUACAACGAAUUAUUAACAUGUAAAUGUAUAAUACGGUACAAAAAAUAAGAUAAUUUCUUUUUUUUGUAAUUGAAUUGUUAUAACACAUUAUACAAAAUACAUUGUGAAUUAAAGCAUAAUAUGAACAUGAUAUCAAUAUAUCAAAUUUUUUAAAAAUUCGAUCAUACGAAUAAUUAUGUAAAAUAUAACAUGAUACAAAAUGACUUGAGAGGAAAAGAGGAAUGUAGACUUGCAUUGUUUGUGAGGUUUUAAAAUAUUCCAGUUUUAGAUUCAAUUUUCUAGUAUUUUUGGUUUAAUUUUACAUUAGAUUUUCUUUUCAGUAUGCACUAGUAAACGCUUGGUAGUCACUUUAAUUUAAUUUAAAGAGAUAUUGCAUAUACAUAAUAAAUUUCAUAGAAGAAAAAAGAAAUAGAUGGUUGAAAAUGAUAAAAUCGUAAGAUAAAAGAGCUUUUAUUCAAAAUGCAAAAAUGAACAAAAUAUUCAUUAUCGCUCAACUUAGCAUAAUUAAACAUUUAGGUGUGGAAAUCAAAUCACAAUUUGAGUAGCUAAACAUAUCGCUUGAAAAUGUGAUAAGUAAGAAACUUGCCCACAUUUGAGUAGCGACAGGUGGUGAUGCAUUUCCCAACGAGAGAAAACCAAGCUCUUCGCCAGUAUGGAUUUAUGUAGAGGACAACAAAAAUUGUCAACAAAGCAACUACAAAAGAAACCAAAAAGCUCACACAAAAAUCAUAAGUACCUAUCAAACCAUCUUCUCCUUUAUCUUCUGAUACAGCUGAUAUCGUUGAUGGCGAAUCGGUUUUGGAACAACUUUUAUGCAAUAUAGCUCCACAAAGAAAAGGAUUUCCCUCAUAACUGUUUUCAAUAAAGGUCCCAAAUUGAGCUUUUUCAGGAAUACUACCUGACAAGUUGUUGUAUGCCACGCUGAAAACCUCCAAAGAGUUCAACUCUACCAACUGAUUGGGGAUUUCACCACUCAAAUUGUUGUAAGAAAGGUCCAAACUCUCAAUUUGAUGAAGUUUUGCGAAUGAUGAGGGUAUAACUCCUGUCAACUUAUUGUGCGACAAGUUUAAAGAAUAGAUUUCACUUAAGUUCCCUAAUUCUGGUGGGAUAUGACCAGUUAAGUUGUUGCAAGAUAAAUCAAUCCCGGUCAUAUAUGUAAGGAUGUUUCCCUCGUACGAUAAGAACCUACUCUUUGUUGUGAACUCUAUUACUUCUUCUAUGUAGCUGGAAGGAUUGGAAUAAUCUACCAAUGUUUUCAUGAAUCCGUCCCCUGUUAAACUUGGAAUAGUUCUCCCAUUAGUUAGAGUCUUAUUUGUUUCCAUUGGAAGGGUUAAAUUUCCCAAACAAGAAGGGAUGAUACCAGAAAACAUAUUUUGAGAAAGAUCUAUGAUGCUUAAAGAAUCCAACUUGCAUAACUGAACUGGAACUUCACCAUGAAAAUGAUUAUCUUUCAAGAUAAGAAUACUCAAUGAAGAAAGUGUGCCAAUCCAUUUUGGAAUACUACCAGUCAAAUUGUUUCCUCUAAGAUCUAACGUAACCAGUGAAGAGAUAUUAUAGAAAGCGAUUGGUAGUGGGCCACUUAGUCUACUCCCGUGCAGGUGGACAUGCUUUAUGUUUAGGGUAUUAAAGCAGGACGGUAUAGAGCCAAAUAAAUUAUUUUCAGAGAGAUCCAAAAAUUCCAAGCGAUCCA
rnacentral:lncRNA from 1 species